rnacentral:guide_RNA from 1 species
AAAACAACGCAAUAUCUAAGUAAGAUUGUAUAGU